GAUGAACGCUGGCGGCGUGCCUAAUACAUGCAAGUCGAGCGAACAGACGAGGAGCUUGCUCCUCUGACGUUAGCGGCGGACGGGUGAGUAACACGUGGAUAACCUACCUAUAAGACUGGGAUAACUUCGGGAAACCGGAGCUAAUACCGGAUAAUAUAUUGAACCGCAUUGUUCAAUAGUGAAAGACGGCUUUGCUGUCACUUAUAGAUGGAUCCGCGCCGCAUUAGCUAGUUGGGAAGGUAACGGCUUACCAAGGCAACGAUGCGUAGCCGACCUGUGAGGGUGAUCGGCCACACUGGAACUGAGACACGGUCCAGGCUCCUACGGGAGGCAGCAGUAGGGAAUCUUCCGCAAUGGGCGAAAGCCUGACGGAGCAACGCCGCGUGAGUGAUGAAGGUCUUCGGAUCGUAAAACUCUGUUACUAGGGAAGAACAAAUGUGUAAGUAACUAUGCACGUCUUGACGGUACCUAAUCAGAAAGCCACGGCUAACUACGUG
rnacentral:rRNA from 1 species